rnacentral:rRNA from 1 species
UACGUAGGGUGCGAGCGUUGUCCGGAUUUAUUGGGCGUAAAGGGCUCGUAGGCGGCCUGUCGCGUCGGGAGUGAAAGCCCACUGCUUAACGGUGGGUCUGCUUCCGGUACGGGCGGGCUAGAGUAUGGCAGGGGAGACUGGAAUUCCUGGUGUAGCGGUGGAAUGCGCAGAUAUCAGGAGGAACACCGGUGGCGAAGGCGGGUCUCUGGGCCAUUACUGACGCUGAGGCACGAAAGCUAGGGGAGCAAACAGG